rnacentral:rRNA from 1 species
GACGAACGCUGGCGGCGUGCCUAAUACAUGCAAGUUGAGCGAUGAAGAUUGGUGCUUGCACCAAUUUGAAGAGCAGCGAACGGGUGAGUAACGCGUGGGUAAUCUGCCUUUGAGCGGGGGACAACAUUUGGAAACGAAUGCUAAUACCGCAUAACAACUUUAAACAUAAGUUUUAAGUUUGAAAGAUGCAAUUGCAUCACUCAAAGAUGAUCCCGCGUUGUAUUAGCUAGUUGGUGAGGUAAAGGCUCACCAAGGCGAUGAUACAUAGCCGACCUGAGAGGGUGGACGGCCACAAUGGGACUGGGACACGGCCCAAACUCCUACGGGAGGCAGCAGGAGGGAAUCUUCGGCAAUGGACGAAAGUCUUACCGAGCAACGCCGCGUGAGUGAAGAAGGUUUUCGGAUCGUAAAACUCUGUUGGUAGAGAAGAACGUUGGUGAGAGUGGAAAGCUCAUCAAGUGACGGUAACUACCCAGAAAGGGACGGCUAACUACGUG